GGGACGGUAGCUCAGCGGCCAAGAGCCAGCGACUCAUAAUCGCCAAGACGUGGGUUCGAAUCCCACCCGUCCCA
rnacentral:tRNA from 1 species